CCCAGACUCCUACGGGAGGCAGCAGUGGGGGAUAUUGCACAAUGGGGGGAACCCUGAUGCAGCGACGCCGCGUGGGUGAAGGAGCGUUUCGGCGCGUAAAGCCCUAUCGGCAGGGAAGAAGGAGGACGGUACCUGACUAAGAAGCCCCGGCUAACUACGUGCCAGCAGCCGCGGUAAUACGUAGGGGGCAAGCGUUAUCCGGAUUUACUGGGUGUAAAGGGGGCGCAGAGGGCAGCGCAAGCCAGGAGUGAAAGCCCGGGGCCCAACCCCGGGACUGCUCUUGGAACUGCGCGGCUGGAGUGCAGGAGGGGCAGGCGGAAUUCCUGGUGUAGCGGUGAAAUGCGUAGAUAUCAGGAGGAACACCGGUGGCGAAGGCGGCCUGCUGGACUGCGACUGACGUUGAGGCCCGAAAGCGUGGGGAGCAAACAGGAUUAGAUACCCCUGUAAU
rnacentral:rRNA from 1 species